ensembl:lncRNA
CUCAGACAGAAUAGGACCUGCCCUGAAUAAGGUUCUCCUCUACUCUCAGCCCCCUCAUACAGAAUAGGACCUGCCCUGAAUGAGGUUCUCUACCCCCAGUCCCCUCAGACAGAAUAGGACCUGCCCUGAACGAGGUUCUCCUCUACCCCCAGUCCCCUCAGAAAGAAUAGGACCUGCCCUGAACGAGGUUCUCCUCUACCCCCAGUCCCCUCAGAAAGAAUAGGACCUGCCCUGAACGAGGUUCUCCUCUACCCCCAGUCCCCCUCAGAAAGAAUAGGACCUGCCCUGAACGAGGUUCUCCUCUACCCUCUGUCCCCUCAGAAAGAAUAGGACCUGCCCUGAAUGAGGUUCUCCUCUACCCUCAGUCCCCUCAGAAAGAAUAGGACCUGCCCUGAACGAGGUUCUCCUCUACCCUCUGUCCCCUCAGAAAGAAUAGGACCUGCCCUGAACGAGGUUCUCCUCUACCCUCUGUCCCCUCAGAAAGACUAGGACCUGCCCUGAACGAGGUUCUCCUCUACCCUCAGACAGAAUAGGACCUGCCCUGAAUAAGGUUCUCCUCUACCCCCAGUCCCCUCAGAAAGAACAGGACCUGCCCUGAACGAGGUUCUCCUCUACCCCCAGUCCCCUCAGACAGAAUAGGACCUGCCCUGAACGAGGUUCUCCUCUACCCUCAGUCCCCUCAGACAGAACAGGACCUGCCCUGAAUGAGGUUCUCUACCCUCUGUCCCCUCAGAAAGACUAGGACCUGCCCUGAAUGAGGUUCUCUACCCCCAGUCCCCUCAGAAAGAAUAGGACCUGGUUUGUGAUCUAAAAAAAAUCAGACAAUAUCAGGAACUGCAUCUCAGCUGUACUUACUGUCUGUUGGUGGGGGGCGCUUAACAGAAGGUCCACUAUAGGGCCCUGGGCAACAUGUGCACUAUAUAGGGAAUGAGGGGGGGGUGUGACUGAGUGAAGUCAUCCACUCUGCCCUCAGUCCCCUCAGGGGGGGGUGUGACUGAGUGAAGUCAUCCACUCUGCCCUCAGUCCCCUCAGGGGGGGGGGGUGACUGAGUGAAGUCAUCCACUCUGCCCUCAGUCCCCUCAGGGGGGGUGUGACUGAGUGAAGUCAUCCACUCUGCCCUCAACAGGAGAACUCUGGACCAGACUGACUAGGGAGGUGUUUACCCCGGUGGUCGUUACGACACCGUCACUUCCAGAAGGAAUUAACAGUGGAUCAAAAUGUAAAUAUUACGUUUUAUUGUAAAGAAGGAAUAAUAUGUUGGGAUGUAAAUAAAUUAGUUUGAUGGUUAGUUGUUGUUUGUUGUUUUGACAUAUGUAAUAUUAAAGGUGAGUCUGUGUCGUCAUUAAAGGUGUGAGCAGCAUGAUCCAUAGGACUGACUAUAACCAACAGCAUUUUAUACCCAACUGUUACUCACAAUUCAGCUUGACCACUGAGGAAAUGUGUUUGGUAAUGCUAACCUGCCUGUUAAAUAUAUACUGAACAAACAUGUCAAUGAUUUAAAC